CAGGACGACGCUGGCGGCACGCUUAACACAUGCAAGUCGAACGGAGUUGUUGGAGCUUGCUCUGAACAACUUAGUGGCGGACGGGUGAGUAACACGUGAGCAACCUGCCUUUGAGAGUGGAAUAGCUUCUGGAAACGGAUGGUAAUACCGCAUAACAUUAACGGACCGCAUGAUCUGUUAAUCAAAGAUUUAUCGCUCAAAGAUGGGCUCGCGGCUGAUUAGAUAGUUGGUGGGGUAACGGCCUACCAAGUCGACGAUCAGUAGCCGGACUGAGAGGUUGAACGGCCACAUUGGGACUGAGACACGGCCCAGACUCCUACGGGAGGCAGCAGUGGGGAAUAUUGCACAAUGGGCGGAAGCCUGAAUGCAGCGAUGCCGCGUGGAGGAAGAAGGUUUUCGGAUUGUAAACUCCUUUUAUCAGGGACGAUAAUGACGGUACCUGAAGAAAAAGCUCCGGCUAACUACGUGCCAGCCGCUGC
rnacentral:rRNA from 1 species